AACGAACGCUGGCGGCAUGCCUAACACAUGCAAGUCGAACGAGACCUUCGGGUCUAGUGGCGCACGGGUGCGUAACGCGUGGGAACCUGCCCUUAGGUUCGGAAUAACUCCCCGAAAGGGGUGCUAAUACCGGUUAAUGUCUUCGGACCAAAGAUUUAUCGCCUUUGGAUGGGCCCGCGUUGGAUUCGCUGGUUGGUAGGGUAAAAGCCUACCAAGGCGACGAUCCAUAGCUGGUCGGAGAGGAUGAUCAGCCACACUGGGAAUGAGACACGGCCCAGACUCCUACGGGAGGCAGCAGUGGGGAAUAUUGGACGAGGGGCGAAAGCCUGAUACAGCAAUGCCGCGUGAGUGAUGAAGGCCUUAGGGUUGUAAAGCUCUUUUACCCGGGAUGAUAAUGACAGUACCGGGAGAAUAAGCUCCGGCUAACUCCGUG
rnacentral:rRNA from 1 species